UAUUUGCUUAACCCAUGUGCAUCACUCAAUUGGUGGGGGCAAAUAACGUCUUAAGGAAAGCGACAUUUGUAACGUGCCUUGAAGCACACAAAAUUUCUGCAGUUUCUUCCUACAUACAGAGUUAGUUGUAAAUACAUUACUUUACAUAAUAAAGUUUCACCAUUAUUGUUGUAUUUCUCUACAUUUGCCAUUCCCCACAAGUUUACCACUAACAAUCUUAAGACGUUAUUUCUGCAACAAUGGCACCAAGUUCAUCUCUUCGACAAUUCGCAGUAGAUUUUGUCAAAUUGGAGCGGUUCGAUGGUGGCAACUUUAUUCGUUGGCAGAAAAAGUUGCAUUUCUUAUUGACAAGCCUCAAUGUGGUCUAUGUUCUCACAACACCAAAGCCUCAAGAACGUGAGGAUGAGACAUUAGGGGAAACCAGAGUGCGACAUAAGUGGGAGCAAGAUGACUACGUGUGUAAGGGACACAUUUGCAAUGCCAUGUCUGAUACUUUGUUUGAUCAAUAUCGCAACAAACCUACAGCAAAAGAGAUAUAGGACUCAUUAGAGGCUAAGUACAUGAUGGAAGAUGCCACAAGUAAGAAAUUCUUGGAUUCUAAAUUUUUUAAUUAUAGAAUGGUUAAUAAUAGACUUGUGGUUGAACAAUAUAAUGAGAUUUUGCAUAUUCUUGAUCAAUUCAACCAACAUAACAUGAAAAUGGAUGAGUCUAUUAUUGUCUCUUCAAUUAUUGAUAAACUUCCUCCCUCUUGGAAAGAUUAUAAGAAAAGUCUUAAACAUAACAAAGAGGAAAUUAGUCUGGAUGGCUUAGGCCAAAGUCUUCGUAUUGAAGAGGAACUCAAGCUUAAUAGUUUUGAGGAUCAGACUACUACAUCCUCUAAAAUUAAUGUCAUAGAGGAAGGGAAGGAGUUUAAACAUUCUAAUCACCCUAAGAAUAAUCAAAAGAGAAAGUUUGAUUCCAAAGAGAAUCAAAACAAUAAGAAGAAAAAGAAGGGUACAUGCCACCACUGCGGAAAACCUGGCCACUUCAAAAGAGAUUGUCGACUUCUGAAGAAACAAAAGGAAGUUUCGAACACAAAUUUUGUGGUAAUGAUAUCUGAGAUUAAUGCUCUUGAAGAUGAUAUUGCAUGGUGGAUAGAUUCUGGUGCAACUAAGCAUGUAUGCAAGGAUCGUAGCCUUUUCAAAUCUUAUAAAGCAAUGGAUGAUGGAAGUGUUCUUUACAUGGGAAAUUCCUCCACUGCAAUAGUUAAAGGAAAAGGAAAUGUGCAACUAGAGUUUACUUCUGAAAAAACUUUAACUCUUACUGAUGUUUAUCAUGUUCCUGAAGUUAGGAAAAACCUUGUAUCUGGUAGCCUUCUUAAUAAGUUUGGCUUCAAACUUGUUUUUGAGUCAAACAAAUUUAUAUUAUCUAAGGGUGGUACCUUUGUUGGGAAAGGAUACAUGUAUGAAGGAAUGUUUAAACUCAAUAUCAAUAAUAUGAAUGUUUCUUCUGCUUAUAUGGUUGAUUCAUUAUCUUUGUGGCAUAAUUGUUUAGGACAUGUGAAUAUUAGAAGAUUGCAUGAUAUGGUUAAUUUAGAGUUAAUUCCUAAGCAUGAAAAUGAUAUGCAUGAAAAAUGUAAAGUACGUGCACAGACUAAAAUCACAAGAUCUCCUUUUCCAAAAAUUGAAAAAACAUCUUCUUUAUUGCAUUUAAUUCAUAGCGAUGUGUGUGAUAUGCAUAGUAAUCCUUCUAAAGGUGGUAAAAUAUAUUUUGUAACAUUUAUUGAUGAUUUUUCAAAAUAUUGCUAUGUGUAUUUAUUACAUUCUAAAGAUCAAGCGUUAGAAAAAUUUGAAACUUAUAAAAAUGAAGUUGAGAAUUUUUGUGACACUAAAAUUAAAUGCCUUAGAAGUGAUAAAGGAGGUGAAUAUGCUUUUUCUGAAUUUUAUGAAUCUGUUGGCAUUGUACAUGAAACUAGCACUGCAUAUACUCCACAACAAAAUGGCAUAGCUGAAAGGAAAAAUAGGACAUUAAUAGAAAUGGUUAAUGCUAUGCUUUUUAAUGCUAGGCUUGGUAAAGGUUUUUGGGGUGAAGCUAUUUUAACUGCAUAUCAUAUCUUAAAUAGAGUGCCUAAUAAGAAAACAAAGGUGACCCCAUAUGAAUUAUGGAAAAAGAGAAAGCCUAAUCUUUCUUAUCUAAGAGUUUGGGGUUGUCGAGCCAUUGUAAGACUACCAAAACCUAAGAUAAAGAAAUUAGGAGAAAGGGGCAUUGAAUGCAUAUUCUUGGGAUAUGCUGAGCAUAGUAAAGCUUAUAGGUUUCUUGUAACAGAACCUAAUAGCUUUGUUGAGAUCAAUACUAUAGUGGAAUCUAGAGAUGCAAUAUUCUAUGAAAAUAGAUUUUGCACUAUACCAAAAAGUAUUGAUUCUCAAGAGAAUGAUAAACAAAUAAAAAUUGGUCAAAAGCGUGAUGCUAAUAAUAAGCAAAAUCAUUUGAGAAUAAGUAAAAGAAUAAGGACUAUAAAAUCUUUUGGACUAGAUAUUAUAGUCUAUUUAGUUGAAGGGACAAGAGACUCACAAUCAAAACAGACCAUGAUCACAUCUACUAUAGAGUCUGAUCCCCU
rnacentral:lncRNA from 1 species